CCAUGACCAAAUGCUGUGAAUUUUUAUCAGUAGCUUAUAUGACCAGACACCUGCAAGUGUCUUCCCUUUAGAAUGACUGCUGGUGCUAAGGUUUUUCAUAGCAUAUCAUUAUUGAAGGUGGAUACACAA
rnacentral:snoRNA from 1 species